CUCAGCAAGAUUCAGCAAGAUUCAGGAAGAUUCAGCGCUGAAAGAUGGUCUGGUCACAUGCAGCCUCGUCUGUACCAAGGGGCGGAAAGGAAAGGUGGGAGGAAUUUUCUCCCAAAGAGGAACAGAAAAGGUGGGGAAUGGGUGCUAACAGCUAACUCAACCUGUGUCUUGCACACUGAGGUCUGAAGGUGACACAGCUGAGAAGAGUUGGGACAGGGAUCGAGCCCUGGCAGUCUGACUCCACAACCCACGAUCCUAAGUCCUGCACACCCUCCACUACAGGUGCCAGCCUCAUGCUAAGCACCUUGUAGAGAAAACAGACACGGAAGCCCCACAGAGCCACUUAAUUAUAUGCAGAUUGAAUGAAUGAAUGCAGCAAUCAAAUGACAGUCCGUCAGUGUCUGCCUUCAGAGCCAUCGGCACCACAUGGCCACAGACGUUUCCAUGCAGCUGCCCGUGGUUGAGAGCCCCCCCAAUACCUGGGACAAAGCUUUCUGCUGCAUCUUAGAAAGCCUGCCAGCUCCCGUCUGGGGGCCCUUCUGUCCUGCUGGAGGGCAUUUUCAAGCCCUGCGAUGAGGAAGACGCGUCAAGGAGACGGCGACUCAGCUGUACUUUCUUGGGAGUCCAGGCCUGUCUGACCAUCUAAGAAGAGAAGAAAAGAGGGGUGCCUUGGUGGCUCAGUCCGUUAAGCAUCAGACUUU